AUUGAACGCUGGCGGCAGGCCUAACACAUGCAAGUCGAGCGGCAGCGGGAAAGUAGCUUGCUACUUUUGCCGGCGAGCGGCGGACGGGUGAGUAAUGCCUGGGGAUCUGCCCAGUCGAGGGGGAUAACUACUGGAAACGGUAGCUAAUACCGCAUACGCCCUACAGGGGAAAGCAGGGGACCUUCGGGCCUUGCGCGAUUGGAUGAACCCGGGGGGGAUUAGCUAGUUGGUGAGGUAACGGCUCACCAAGGCGACGAUCCCUAGCUGGUCUGAGAGGAUGAUCAGCCACACUGGAACUGAGACACGGUCCAGACUCCUACGGGAGGCAGCAGUGGGGAAUAUUGCACAAUGGGGGAAACCCUGAUGCAGCCAUGCCGCGUGUGUGAAGAAGGCCUUCGGGUUGUAAAGCACUUUCAGCGAGGAGGAAAGGUCAGUAGCUAAUAUCUGCUGGCUGUGACGUUACUCGCAGAAGAAGCACCGGCUAACUCCGUGCCAGCAGCCGCCGUAA
rnacentral:rRNA from 1 species